GGCCUCAUCCACAUGAUGCGCAGGUAUGGGUCUAGCUCCUGCAUGAGCUCAACAUCUGGGCCUGUCUGAGCUGCACAGCUGAAGAAAGAGACAAGAUGUCUAUAGCCUCACCCACUUGAGGAAUCAGGCAUGGCUGAGAAAGACAUUCGAGUUGUGCAGGUGGUGAUGAUUUGUGCUUUAGAGGAUGGAGGAGGCCUGCAGGGAAGGCGGAGCUGCGGGGAACACUCUCUAGGAGGGAGAGUAACAUGCCUACAAACACCUGGGAAGGGAGUACUUUUAGGAUCAACACUUGUGGACGGGAGAAGAUGGAAGCAGGACUGGGUAGAAGAAGAAGCUGGGCUGCAAUGAAGUCCCAUUGAAGACCUCAGCUGACCUUGCAUGGAGCCUGCAUCCCAUCCAGGAUACCUGUUACAUUUACUUGUCAUAUCUCCUCAAGCUUCUCUUGGCUAUGACAGUUUUUUAGACUUUCCUUGA